GGCCCUAGCUGAAUCCACCUCGGACUCCAGAUUGUCGAGGAGGAAGUUACCUAAUCUUAUCCGAGUUCGUUGCUUAUACUUCCGACCUGGGUCCAGUUUCAGAGGACGACCGCAGGCUUCACUCCCUUAGAAUCCUCAACUCAGGCUCCACUGCUUUCUUUAGCCUGUACUGUGAGGACGAGUUGAUCCUCCUGUGCAGUGCUGGCCAGGGGCUGCUCCUGUGAAGGUUAUGGCAUUUAUUCAGCAGGAGGUCUCUUCAGAAUUAAUCAGGGGAAGUACCAGCUAACGAUCUGGAAAGGCCCUUGGGAACACCCUGCCCUGUGAACUCUACACAAGUGUCACUUAGGGUAGGGACUGCGGCUCAGUGACAGAGCACUUGCCUAGCAUGUGAGAAGCCCUAGGCUGCAUCUCAGAGAACGUCGCGACAUGGGCCGGGGCCUCUCCAGGUGGUGGUCCCUGUCCAGGAUGUCCCCCAGUACACCGUGCAAACACUCCUUACCCCAUCAAGGCCCUGCAUGGCCAUUUAAAAAGAAUUCCACAGCCGGUAAGCUGGCGCAUGCCUGUGAUCCCAGCACUCGAGAAGCUCCCCCUUCUCUGCAAAUUACUGCCGGGAAAGCUUCAGAAAGCUUCGUGGGACCCUCUGGACUUCUGAGGGGCAUGAAGGGGUGAGACCAACCACAGGUUUGAAGAGGCUGGAGAGAUGGUGCAGCCAAUAAGAGCACUUGUUCUUGCAGAAGACCCACGUUUGAUUCCCAGCAACCAUAUGGUGGCUCACAACCGUCCAUAAUUCUAGCUCCAGAGGACCCAAUGCCCUCUUCUGGUUUCUAGGGCACCACAAGCAUAUGGUGUACAGCCACACAUGCGCACAAAAUGCCCACACACAAAGUAAUAAAUUUAAUUAAAAAAAA